UAGCCAUGAUGUGGACAAGCAUUAAGCAAAUCUUUAAAAUCUUUCCCAACAUUGAUAAAAUGUCUCAUUAUCUUUUUGUGAAAAAUUCAUUAUUUGUCUUUUAAGUGC